rnacentral:tRNA from 1 species
GGGGCAGUAGCUCAAUCCGGGAGAGCACUACGCUGAAGACGUAGUUGUUGUGGGUUCAAAUCAGCAAAGUGAUGCU